CCUACGUGUGUCAGCAGUGAGGAAUAUUGGUCAAUGUUCGAGAGUCUGAACCAGCCAAGUAGCGUGAAGGAUGACUGCCCUAUGGGUUGUAAACUUCUUUUAUAAAGGAAUAAAACGCGGCACGUGUGCCUUUUUGCAUGUACUUUAUGAAUAAGGACCGGCUAAUUCCGUGCCAGCAGCCGCGGUAAUACGGAGGAUCCGAGCGUUAUCCGGAUUGAUUGGGUUGAAAGGGAGCGUAGUUGGGUUGUUAAGCCAGUGGGUAAAGUAUGGGGCUCAACCUUAAAAUUGCGAUGGAUACUGGCAGGCUUGAGUGCAGUGGAGGUAUGCGGAAUUCGUGGUGUAGCGGUGAAAUGCUUAGAUAUCACGAAGAACCCCGAUUGCGAAGGCAGCUUACGAAACUGUGACUGACAUUGAUGCUCGAAAGUGUGGGUAUCAAACAGGAUUAGAUACCCUUGUAGUC
rnacentral:rRNA from 1 species